rnacentral:rRNA from 1 species
AACGAACGCUGGCGGCAGGCCUAACACAUGCAAGUCGAACGCCGUAGCAAUACGGAGUGGCAGACGGGUGAGUAACGCGUGGGAACCUUCCCUAUGGUUCGGAAUAGCUCAGGGAAACCUGGGGUAAUACCGGAUAAGCCCUUCGGGGGAAAGAUUGAUCGCCAUUGGAUGGGCCCGCGUAGGAUUAGCUAGUUGGUGAGGUAAUGGCUCACCAAGGCGACGAUCCUUAGCUGGUCUGAGAGGAUGAUCAGCCACACUGGGACUGAGACACGGCCCAGACUCCUACGGGAGGCAGCAGUGGGGAAUAUUGGACAAUGGGCGAAAGCCUGAUCCAGCCAUGCCGCGUGAGUGACGAAGGCCUUAGGGUUGUAAAGCUCUUUUGGCGGGGAAGAUAAUGACGGUACCCGCAGAAUAAGCUCCGGCUAACUUCGUGCCAGCCGCCGCAGUAAUAC